UACGGGGGGGGGCAAGCGUUGUUCGGAAUUACUGGGGCGUAAAGGGCUCGUAGGCGGCCAACUAAGUCAGACGUGAAAUCCCUCGGCUUAACCGGGGAACUGCGUCUGAUACUGGAUGGCUUGGAGGUUGGGAGAGGGAUGCGGAAUUCCAGGUGUAGCGGUGAAAUGCGUAGAUAUCUGGAGGAACACCAAUGGCGAAGGCAGCUCGCUGG
rnacentral:rRNA from 1 species